CACGUAGGGGACGAGCGUUUGUCCGGAUUCAUUGGGCGUAAAGCGCGCGUAGGCGGCUCGGAAAGUCGGUCGUGAAAUGCCGGGGCUCAACCCCGGGACUGCGUCCGAUACUUCCGGGCUGGAGGUAGGUAGGGGAGAUCGGAAUUCCUGGUGUAGCGGUGAAAUGCGCAGAUAUCAGGAGGAACACCGGUGGCGAAGGCGGAUCUCUGGGCCUUACCUGACGCUGAGGCGCGAAAAGCUAGGGGGGAGCGAAACAGG
rnacentral:rRNA from 1 species